rnacentral:lncRNA from 1 species
GUUCAGUUUUUCUGUUUGUUUUCUUUUCAUAGAGAUGUGGCCUUGCAAAGCAGUGUAAUUUGGCCUUCUCUGCCAGAAUCCAGUUUGCCUCUGGCGAUUUGCUACAGUGGGCCUCUCUGGUGGACCCAGCCCCACACCUUUGAAACAGAGCUUGCAUGGCUACAAGGAAGCACAUGGCCACGAGGGCACCAUUUUCCAGACUAUAAAAUAAACAAUUCCUUUUCUCGGGGCCUCAUAGGACACCCAAACUCAGCUCUCAUGUCUGUCACUGUCAACCAUGCCUCCCCUCCAAGAUGGACUCCUAUCCCUCUGCAUAAGCCAAAAUAAACACUUCCUUCCAUAAGGCACUGUUGGUCAGGGUGUUUUCAGUCUGUCAUGUCAAAGUGUUCUGGAAAUGGAAUCCUUCAG